GCCCAGACAGCCAGGAUGUUGGCUUAGAAGCAGCCAUCAUUUAAAGAAAGCGUAAUAGCUCACUGGUCGAGUCGGCCUGCGCGGAAGAUGUAACGGGGCUAAACCAUGCACCGAAGCUGCGGCAGCGACACUGUGUGUUGUUGGGUAGGGGAGCGUUCUGUAAGCCUGUGAAGGUGUGUCGUGAGGCAUGCUGGAGGUAUCAGAAGUGCGAAUGCUGACAUAAGUAACGAUAAAGCGGGUGAAAAGCCCGCUCGCCGGAAGACCAAGGGUUCCUGUCCAACGUUAAUCGGGGCAGGGUGAGUCGACCCCUAAGGCGAGGCCGAAAGGCGUAGUCGAUGGGAAACGGGUUAAUAUUCCCGUACUUGGUGUUACUGCGAAGGGGGGACGGAGAAGGCUAUGUUGGCCGGGCGACGGUUGUCCCGGUUUAAGCGUGUAGGUGUGUGUUCCAGGUAAAUCCGGUUCACUUUAACACUGAGGCGUGACGACGAGGCACUACGGUGCUGAAGCAACAAAUGCCCUGCUUCCAGGAAAAGCCUCUAAGCAUCAGGUAACAUCAAAUCGUACCCCAAACCGACACAGGUGGUCAGGUAGAGAAUACCAAGGCGCUUGAGAGAACUCGGGUGAAGGAACUAGGCAAAAUGGUGCCGUAACUUCGGGAGAAGGCACGCUGACACGUAGGUGAAGUGAUUUACUCAUGGAGCUGAAGUCAGUCGAAGAUACCAGCUGGCUGCAACUGUUUAUUAAAAACACAGCACUGUGCAAACACGAAAGUGGACGUAUACGGUGUGACGCCUGCCCGGUGCCGGAAGGUUAAUUGAUGGGGUCAGCGCAAGCGAAGCUCCUGAUCGAAGCCCCGGUAAACGGCGGCCGUAACUAUAACGGUCCUAAGGUAGCGAAAUUCCUUGUCGGGUAAGUUCCGACCUGCACGAAUGGCGUAAUGAUGGCCAGGCUGUCUCCACCCGAGACUCAGUGAAAUUGAACUCGCUGUGAAGAUGCAGUGUACCCGCGGCAAGACGGAAAGACCCCGUGAACCUUUACUAUAGCUUGACACUGAACAUUGAGCCUUGAUGUGUAGGAUAGGUGGGAGGCUUUGAAGUGUGGACGCCAGUCUGCAUGGAGCCGACCUUGAAAUACCACCCUUUAAUGUUUGAUGUUCUAACGUGGACCCGUUACCCGGGUUGCGGACAGUGUCUGGUGGGUAGUUUGACUGGGGCGGUCUCCUCCUAAAGAGUAACGGAGGAGCACGAAGGUUGGCUAAUCCUGGUCGGACAUCAGGAGGUUAGUGCAAUGGCAUAAGCCAGCUUGACUGCGAGCGUGACGGCGCGAGCAGGUGCGAAAGCAGGUCAUAGUGAUCCGGUGGUUCUGAAUGGAAGGGCCAUCGCUCAACGGAUAAAAGGUACUCCGGGGAUAACAGGCUGAUACCGCCCAAGAGUUCAUAUCGACGGCGGUGUUUGGCACCUCGAUGUCGGCUCAUCACAUCCUGGGGCUGAAGUAGGUCCCAAGGGUAUGGCUGUUCGCCAUUUAAAGUGGUACGCGAGCUGGGUUUAGAACGUCGUGAGACAGUUCGGUCCCUAUCUGCCGUGGGCGCUGGAGAACUGAGGGGGGCUGCUCCUAGUACGAGAGGACCGGAGUGGACGCAUCACUGGUGUUCGGGUUGUCAUGCCAAUGGCACUGCCCGGUAGCUAAAUGCGGAAGAGAUAAGUGCUGAAAGCAUCUAAGCACGAAACUUGCCCCGA
rnacentral:rRNA from 1 species